ensembl:lncRNA
AGCUGGGGGGUCGGGAAGCACAGUUCCACCCCCCUCUGGGGGACGGCCGGGGCAGGGUGGCUGCUCCCCAAGAAAACGGAGCCCGGAACUAUCCGGACUCCGUUUGGCCUGAAACCGUCUAGGGGUAAGGCCGGGAGGCUGCUCAACUUGUCCACGGGCGGCAAGGAAAUAAAGGAACAACGAAAAGUUUCCUGCCAAGUGUCCAACACCCUCUGUUCUUUUUAUUUCGUGCUAGACUUGAGGCCGGGUUCGGAGAACGACGGCUCCUCCCCCAGGGCCCCGCGCCGAGCGCUGUCGUGGGGCUGCGAGCCCUGGCUGUGGAAAAGCCUUCUCGGCCGCGUCCUCCCUCCGGAUCCCGCAGGCCCGGCUCGGACGCCCCCUCCCCAUUCCAACAAACCCAUCAGCCCCGACUCAGCAGAGGCCCGCAGGAGGGCGCGCAGCCUAGGUCUCGCCCAGCGUGGCCCUGCGCCGCCUUUCACGGCACGCAGCUCGUGGGCCUUAAAGGCCGUUCCGGCCCGCGCAGGCACCCCUUUAGCGCUUCCAAUGAAACGCGGAGCCGAGCCCGACCCGCCGGCCUGUGCCGUGGCCCCUCAGGUGCGGAGGACCGGCAGGCCUGGGCACCUGGGCUACAGGGCUUCCCGGACGCUGCCCUCAGCCGACCCAGCCAGUCGCGUCGCGCGGCCCGUUGUGGCUCACGCGGCUGUCGCCAGUGCGGCUCGAGGCCCAGGCGCCGGGUUGCCGCCUCCCCAAUUCCCUGAGGAGGGUUCUGCGCGGCCCAGGGUCCGUCUUGGCUGCCAGGUGGAACCAAACAGGGAGACCCGGUUUUGCACUCGCUCGGACGACCGUGUGGCCUCCGGAGCAAGGAUGGGAUGGUGGGAUGAUGGUGCCCAAGAAAGAACUUCAGUGACUCUGUGAAUUUAACAAGGGUAGCUGUGGAUACACGAAAAUGCAGUCUCAAAAGGACAGUCUGAUACUUCCCAGAGGUUGGCCUGAGACAUCUGGUACUUAGGAGAGACUGGUUAAUAACAGGUAAUCUAUAUAUCUAACUUUGUAACUUCUGGGUUAAUUAAACCACCAGCAAGGAAUGUAGAGAGAACAUACAACCUUUCCAUAGAAAUGCCUUCACUGAAUUAUGAUUUAAUAUAAUUCCUUGAAUUUAUACAAAAGAACUAUAAGAAAAAUCCAUAGGAAUAGGAUUUCUGUCUUUUUCAAAACUUUACUAAGAACACAUUUAGUUGUUUUUCAGUUUGUAACACAAGUAUUCUUAAGUGUUAGUAUAGUGCUAGAAAAAUGUUUGUAUUGAGACAGACGUACUGUUGCAUAUUUAAAAACAUUCAGAGCACUGUUUUGGAGUUUACAGAAUGCUUUCAUACUACCUAAUUUGAUUUAAUUCAUGUGAUAGUGUUAAAUAGAAUUAUAAUUUUACAGAUGAAGAAACAGGCAUGGGGUAUGAAGCAGUGAGGAUAAAUCCUGCAUUUCUUUCUUUAUACCAUGAUGCUUCCCAAAGGAAAAUCUGUUUUCCUUUUUUUGCAUUGUCAUCCCAAAUUCAAAGCAAAACUCAAUUU